rnacentral:rRNA from 1 species
CCAGACUCCUACGGGAGGCAGCAGUGAGGAAUAUUGGUCAAUGGACGCAAGUCUGAACCAGCCAAGUAGCGUGCAGGAUGACGGCCCUCCGGGUUGUAAACUGCUUUUAGUUGGGAAUAAAAGGGGGCUCGUGAGCCCCGUAUUGUAUGUACCAUCAGAAAAAGGACCGGCUAAUUCCGUGCCAGCAGCCGCGGUAAUACGGAAGGUCCGGGCGUUAUCCGGAUUUAUUGGGUUUAAAGGGAGCGUAGGCCGGCUUUUAAGUCAGCGGUAAAAUUUCGGGGCUCAACCCCGUCGUGCCGUUGAAACUGACGCCCUUGAGUGAGUGAGAAGUAAGCGGAAUGCGUGGUGUAGCGGUGAAAUGCAUAGAUAUCACGCAGAACGCCGAUUGCGAAGGCAGCUUACCGGCGCUCAACUGACGCUGAGGCACGAAAGUGCGGGUAUCGAACAGGAUUAGAUACCCCAGUAAC